UUCACCUGUGAAAGCUUCGAGCUUGCGUGUCUAUGUCUGCAGCUCAAUUUUACAGGCUGCUCUUUGUUAGAAAAGAAAAUGAUAUGGGGGCUGCUUUUCAUUAAAAGGAAAACCUUACCGAGGACUUCCUUACCCUCACUGUCUGCCUGUAUAAUUUAUUCUUAACUCUUAUAUCACUCCAAUCAGAUAAAUCCCACAAGAGAAGUGACUGAGAACGUGGAGGGAGGCCUGGUGCUUUACCCAUGUGGCUAGAGUGAGCAGCACCCUGGUUUGUCUAGGAAAGAGGUGGUUUCCAGGAGGCAGCACUUUCAGUUCUGAAACUUGGGCAGUCCCAGGCGAAUCCGGAGAAUUUGGUCACCCAGGUUAUGGAAAACCCUCCCCAUGAUGGGAAUGAUCAGAAAUGGGGAAAGAUAACUCUAGUCCUAGUUUUCCCUAUAUUUUAAUUCUCUGACACUGUAGUUCUCAAACUUCAGCUGCAUCGGCGUCCCCUGGGGCUCCUGUGAAAACACUGGUGUCUGGGCCAACCAUGGAGUGUCUGGGUGGGGCCUGGGGGUCUGCACUUCUAACAGUUUCCCAGGGACAGUGCAGUUGCUGGCCUGGAGCAUGCUCGGCUGAGGACCGCUGCUCUGAUGCGUGGAGAAGAAACAUGAAGUCCGCAGCUGCCCACAUUCAGGGAAGAUCUUUGAAAGCUCUUCAGACAGUGCCACCCAUCUUCAUGAAGCUGAUCCCCGGAUCUCACUCGCUUGUUUCUCCUCCUUCACCUGCUGAUGAUCAAUGUAGACUUUAGCCCUCAGAAGCUCUCAAAAGACCCAGAUCUUGUGAACUGUUUUCACAUUUCCCCAUGGAUGCCUAGCAAGGGACUGGGACUGCCUGAUCCGCUUUGGUCAAGAGCACGUGGGUGGCCUGUGUGCAGGCUUAUCAUCAAUAAUUGCAGGACUUGGUGGAGUAUGGUUGAACAGGUGCUCAGACUGCAUGCGUGUCUAGCGAGGCCAUCCUGAAGCUGCAUGGGAGUUGUAAAAAAGUUACCAACAAGUUUUUAGUUAUUUGAAUAGGUUUUUGAAUAGAUUUGGAAUGUGGGAAGCAGUUGCAGAAAUAAACGUCUUAAUGACUAAAUGU
rnacentral:lncRNA from 1 species